rnacentral:rRNA from 1 species
GGCGUAUGCGACGAGGCCUCGUUCCUUUCAGUUGCAAACAAAACGACUCUCGGCAACGGAUAUCUCGGCUCUUGCAUCGAUGAAGAACGUAGCGAAAUGCGAUACGUGGUGUGAAUUGCAGAAUCCCGUGAACCAUCGAGUUUUUGAACGCAAGU